rnacentral:rRNA from 1 species
UACGGAGGGAGCUAGCGUUGUUCGGAUCUACUGGGCGUAAAGCGCACGUAGGCGGCGCCGUAAGUCAGGGGUGAAAUCCCGGAGCUCAACUCCGGAACUGCCCUUGAAACUGCAGUGCUAGAAUCCUGGAGAGGCGAGCGGAAUUCCGAGUGUAGAGGUGAAAUUCGUAGAUAUUCGGAAGAACACCAGUGGCGAAGGCGACUCGCUGGACAGGUAUUGACGCUGAGGUGCGAAAGCGUGGGGAGCAAACAGG